AAUAGAUACCCGGGUAGUCCACCCCGUAAACGUUGGGAACUAGUUGUGGGGACCAUUCCACGGUUUCCGUGACGCAGCUAACGCAUUAAGUUCCCCGCCUGGGGAGUACGGCCGCAAGGCUAAAACUCAAAGGAAUUGACGGGGACCCGCACAAGCGGCGGAGCAUGCGGAUUAAUUCGAUGCAACGCGAAGAACCUUACCAAGGCUUGACAUAUACGAGAACGGGCCAGAAAUGGUCAACUCUUUGGACACUCGUAAACAGGUGGUGCAUGGUUGUCGUCAGCUCGUGUCGUGAGAUGUUGGGUUAAGUCCCGCAACGAGCGCAACCCUCGUUCUAUGUUGCCAGCACGUAAUGGUGGGAACUCAUAGGAUACUGCCGGGGUCAACUCGGAGGAAGGUGGGGAUGACGUCAAAUCAUCAUGCCCCUUAUGUCUUGGGCUUCACGCAUGCUACAAUGGCCGGUACAAAGGGCUGCAAUACCGUAAGGUGAGCGAAUCCCAAAAGCCGGUCCAGUUCGGAUUGAGGUCUGCAACUCGACCUCAUG
rnacentral:rRNA from 1 species